AGUUUGAUCAUGGCUCAGAUUGAACGCUGGCGGCAUGCCUUACACAUGCAAGUCGAACGGCAGCACGGGAGCUUGCUCCUGGUGGCGAGUGGCGAACGGGUGAGUAAUACAUCGGAACGUACCCUGAAGUGGGGGAUAACGUAGCGAAAGUUACGCUAAUACCGCAUAUUCUGUGAGCAGGAAAGAGGGGGGAUCGCAAGACCUCUUGCUUUAGGAGCGGCCGAUGUCGGAUUAGCUAGUUGGUGAGGUAAAGGCUCACCAAGGCGACGAUCCGUAGCGGGUCUGAGAGGAUGAUCCGCCACACUGGGACUGAGACACGGCCCAGACUCCUACGGGAGGCAGCAGUGGGGAAUUUUGGACAAUGGGCGCAAGCCUGAUCCAGCCAUGCCGCGUGAGUGAAGAAGGCCUUCGGGUUGUAAAGCUCUUUCGGUGGGGAAGAAAUGGCACGGGUUAAUACCCUGUGUUGAUGACGGUACCCGCAUAAGAAGCACCGGCUAACUACGUG
rnacentral:rRNA from 1 species